AACGAACGCUGGCGGCAUGCCUAACACAUGCAAGUCGAACGAGAUCUUCGGGUCUAGUGGCGCACGGGUGCGUAACGCGUGGGAAUCUGCCCUUUGGUUCGGAAUAACAGUUGGAAACGACUGCUAAUACCGGAUGAUGACGAAAGUCCAAAGAUUUAUCGCCAGAGGAUGAGCCCGCGGAGGAUUAGCUAGGUGGUGUGGUACAGGCGCACCAAGGCGACGAUCCUUAGCUGGUCUGAGAGGAUGAUCAGCCACACUGGGACUGAGACACGGCCCAGACUCCUACGGGAGGCAGCAGUGGGGAAUAUUGGACAAUGGGCGAAAGCCUGAUCCGGCAAUGCCGCGUGAGUGAUGAAGGCCUUAGGGUUGUAAAGCUCUUUUACCCGGGAUGUUAAUGACGGUACCGGGAGAAUAAGCUCCGGCUAACUCCGUGCCAGCCGCCGCCGUAA
rnacentral:rRNA from 1 species